rnacentral:rRNA from 1 species
AGCAGUAGCCGCGGGAAUACAGAGGGUGCGAGCGUUAAUCGGAUUUACUGGGCGUAAAGCGUGCGUAGGCGGCUUCUUAAGUCGGAUGUGAAAUCCCUGAGCUUAACUUAGGAAUUGCAUUCGAUACUGGGAAGCUAGAGUAUGGGAGAGGAUGGUAGAAUCCCAGGUGUAGCGGUGAAAUGCGUAGAGAUCUGGAGGAAUACCGAUGGCGAAGGCAGCCAUCUGGCCUAAUACUGACGCUGAGGUACGAAAGCAUGGGGAGCAAACAGGAUUAGAUACCCCGGUAGUUCCUGUCUCUUAUAC